AUGUGACCUUUCUUGGAGACUGGAUCUUUACAGAGGUAAUCAAGUUAAAAUGAGAUGGUUAGGGUGAACUCUUCUAAUACAUCUGGUGUCCUUAUAAAAAGGAGAAAUGUCGACACUGAGAGAAACACCCACACAGGGAGAAUGCCAUGCGAAGAUGAAGGCGGAAUCAGAGUGAUGCUUCUUCAAGCCAAGAAACACCAAAGCGUUAUCAGCAAACCACCACGAGCUGGAAGAAAAGCCUAGAGCAGGUUCUCCUUCCCAGCCCUGAGAAGGAAGCAACCCUGCUGAUGCUUUGGUUUCAGACUUCUGGCCCCCAGAACUCUAGAGUUCAGAGGGCCCAGCACUGAGGAAUCCAGAACUUAAAGUCAGAAAAAUGUUUUAACUAGACUGGAGGCUCAGAAGCCAUCUUUGAUAACUCCUCCCCAAAUAAACACGGCGGCAGGAGAGACGGCAUGAAUACACAGGCUGGGCACAUUCUGCAGAUUACUGUUCAAAGGAGCCUGGACACCAGGUUCUCUUCUGGACACCAUGAAGAAUACAGCAAAGGACAAUACAGGCCCUGUCCUCAGGAUUUCACCAGCAGCCUGGGAACAAAUGCCACAAAAACUUUCUAGCUAUCAGAGUCAUAUGAAAGCAGGGAAUGGAGAGAUUGCUUCCUACUGGGGAAGAGAAGAGUCUUCAGGGAAGAAGGGGCCCUGGAGCAGGUCAUAAAGUACGUAAAGAAGAAUUUUGUGUUCUGUAUGCCGAGAAAACCCCUCUUUACCCACGC